rnacentral:lncRNA from 1 species
AUGGAGGGGAACUCGCCUAUGGAGAAGAGAAGAGCCGUAAAGGGCACGAAGCAGCACGGCAGGAACGCCAGUAGGAGCAACCUCCCUGCUGAGAGCGCCGAGCCCAGCACCGACCAGCCUGUCCGAGCGGCCUUGGAGCCAGCGCGGCUGCAAGGGGAACCGGGCAGGGCCGCUCACUCUAUUCUGGAGGGCAAGGUGAAGGCUCUGAAGGAGAAGAGGUCAACCAUUAAGCAGGGAGGAGUGGUGUCCCAGGAACGGGCAUCUCUGAAGAAGCCCAAAGUCAGGAAAGGGAAGCUCGCACCAGGUCGGGCGGUGGUGGAGGGGGUCCCCCAGGAUGCGGUGGUGGAGCCACGGGCUCAGAUCCGCACCUACUUGACGGACGUGCUGCUAGACAGCCGUGAUGAUGUGGACUUUGGGCAGGGGGCCAGGGGGCCUGUGGCUGCAGACCUUUAUGCCAACAACGUAGAAGCUCUGAAGGCGCAUAGGACAGUGGGAGGAGGCAGUGCCUUGGGCUGCGGUUCAGCUGAGGAACUCUGGAGGCUUCCAAGCCCAGGAAGGAGCAUACAGGAGAAUGCUGACUACUGUUCAGAAAACAGGGCCCAAAGGGGUUCCCCAAAUGGGCUUUGGGGCACCAGCUCCACUAGGAAUCCUCCCUCAAGCAGCCAGAAAUCUUCCCUUGAAGACCAUGGCAAACCAGCCCCCUUUGGAGAAGAGCUGGCUCAGGCUAGGGACUCGGAGAGCCUCCCCCUGGCUCAAAAGGACGAUCUGUGCGGGGGGUUAGCCCCAUCGGGGCGGCUGUGGAGGGCGGACAGCUGGGACAGCCUGGGCAGUGCUGCGAGUGCCGCCAGCAGCCUGUCUCUGGCUGAGCGGGUGGAGAGGAACCGGGCCGUGCUGCAGGAGAUGCUGAGCCUGUCGAGGCAGAACCACUCUCCUCUGGAGCCUCAUCGCUACGCGAAGGAAACACUCAUGCUAGCGAAGGAUGGAGCCGCUCAAGGUGGGAAUUUGAUGUGGGAGCAUCUCAAGCGUGUGUGA